AGUGAACGCUGGCGGUAGGCCUAACACAUGCAAGUCGAACGGCAGCACAGUAAGAGCUUGCUCUUACGGGUGGCGAGUGGCGGACGGGUGAGGAAUACAUCGGAAUCUACUUUUUCGUGGGGGAUAACGUAGGGAAACUUACGCUAAUACCGCAUACGACCUACGGGUGAAAGCAGGGGAUCUUCGGACCUUGCGCGAUUGAAUGAGCCGAUGUCGGAUUAGCUAGUUGGCGGGGUAAAGGCCCACCAAGGCGACGAUCCGUAGCUGGCCUGAGAGGAUGAUCGGCCACACUGGAACUGAGACACGGUCCAGACUCCUACGGGAGGCAGCAGUGGGGAAUAUUGGACAAUGGGCGGAAGCCUGAUCCAGCAAUACCGCGUGGGUGAAGAAGGCCUUCGGGUUGUAAAGCCCUUUUGUUGGGAAAGAAAAGCAGCAGGUUAAUACCCCGCUGUUCUGACGGUACCCAAAGAAUAAGCACCGGCUAACUUCGUG
rnacentral:rRNA from 1 species